GAUGAAGAACGUAGCGAAAUGCGAUACGUAAUGUGAAUUGCAGAAUUCAGUGAAUCAUCGAAUCUUUGAACGCAUAUUGCGCCCCUUGGUAUUCCAUGGGGCAUGCCUGUUCGAGCGUCAUUUCAACCCUCAAGCCCUCGGGUUUGGUGUUGGGGAUCGGCGAGCCUUUCUGGCAAGCCGGCCCCGAAAUCUAGUGGCGGUCUCGCUGCAGCCUCCAUUGCGUAGUAGUAAAACCCUCGCAACUGGAACGCGGCGCGGCCAAGCCGUUAAACCCCCAACUUCUGAAUGUUGACCUCGGAUCAGGUAGGAAUACCCGCUGAACUUAAGCAUAUCAAUAAGCGGAGGA
rnacentral:misc_RNA from 1 species